rnacentral:rRNA from 1 species
GACGAACGCUGGCGGCGUGCUUAACACAUGCAAGUCGAACGGAAAGGCCCUGCUUUUGUGGGGUGCUCGAGUGGCGAACGGGUGAGUAACACGUGAGUAACCUGCCCUUGACUUUGGGAUAACUUCAGGAAACUGGGGCUAAUACCGGAUAGGAGCUCCUGCUGCAUGGUGGGGGUUGGAAAGUUUCGGCGGUUGGGGAUGGACUCGCGGCUUAUCAGCUUGUUGGUGGGGUAGUGGCUUACCAAGGCUUUGACGGGUAGCCGGCCUGAGAGGGUGACCGGCCAGAUUGGGACGGACAGACGGCCAGAACUCGUGAGGGAGCCAGCAGGGGGGAAAAUGGCACGAUGGCGGGCUGCCGGAGGGAGCAAGGGCGAGUGCGGGGUGACGGCCGGCUGUUGAACUAGCGGUUCGGCCUGGGAGGGAGGGUGGGGGAGGGGAAUGGAAAAAGGAGCCCCGGCAAACUACGUGGCAGCAGGCGGGGACUAAACGAAAAGGCAUAGCUCGACC